rnacentral:rRNA from 1 species
ACAAUAUCCGUCGUACAAAAGGGAGAAAAAUCCAGAUCGCCAGCUAAGGUCCCUAAUCUCUGCUAAGUUCGAAAGGAAGUCAGGUUGCAAUGACACCCGGGGAUGUUGGCUUAGAAGCAGCCACCAUUUAAAGAGUGCGUAACAGCUCACCGGGGCGAGGAACUUGGCGCCGAUAAUGAUCGGGAAUAAGCAGGGAGCCGAAGCUGCGGGAACCGAAAGGUUCGGUAGGAGAGCGUUGCUGGUGCGGCGAAGCGUUCCCGGAAGGGGUCGUGGAGCGCCAGCAAGUGAAUAUGCCGGCUUAAGUAACGAUAAAUAAGGUGAGAAUCCUUAUCGCCAUAAACCCAAGGUUUCCUGGGGAAGGUAAAUCCGCCCAGGGUUAGCCGGGACCUAAGGCAAGGCCGAAAGGCAUAGUCGAUGGACAUCAGGUUAAUAUUCCUGAGCUGUCGUCGGGGAACGGAUCUCUGAGCUCCGCGGGACUGUCAGAUGUCCAGGCCCUAGUGGCCGAUGCGGGGGGGAU